CUAGGCCCCAACGAGAUGGCCAUAUCACUGGGGAAGUACCUCGGGUGUGGCGACGUCCCCUGGCUCCGCAUGUAUGACCCAUUCCCCGACUGGCAGCAGCAAAGUAAGUAUGAUUUCAAGUUUUGCAUGACCAUGUAACCAUGUAGAGAUCGAGCUCACUUAUCUGUCUCUUGCACGUACGUGCAGGUGGGCUACUGACAGACGAACUGCACACAGAUGUUGUGGGAACACCAGUCCUGGUGUUCUGCACGCUUACCAUGCCUCGCAACAGGAAGGCUUUGGGAGGAGCAAGGGUAUGGGAGAACAAAGGAGCGCCAAAACCAAAGGCAGAAAGCCUGCAUUUCGACAUGACUAAAUUGUACUAUCCCAAGGACGGCGCCAACAAGCGCA
rnacentral:lncRNA from 1 species